GCUCUUUCAUCUUAUUUUAUGGUUCUGGGGCUCCAGUGAUUGACAGCAGCUUCUCUCACUGGCUUGGAGAGACGCUUUCCGUUAAUGUUUAAUACGAUUCACAUCAACCACUCGCUCUGGUAAAUUCCACAUUCUCACCACUCUUUGGGUAAAGAAGUUUCUUCUGAUAGAGUUUGUGAAGAUGAACAGACUGCUCAAGCAGAAAAACCCAGGAUCUCUUGGAGGAAAGCAAGUGGAAGAUCGUAGACAAUGUGAGAUUUCGUCUGCCCUUGGAUGAGGUUUCACCGAAAAUGUAAAGCCUGCCUGGCCUUUUGCCCCAUCCGCCAACUGCGAGGUUGGACAGGCCAUGAAAAAUUGCUUAUAACCGGGCUGUUAAUGAACAAAGAACAAAGAAAAGAAAAGUACAGCACAGGAACAGGCCCUUUGGCCCUCCAAGCCUGCACCGAACAUAUUGCCCAUCCACUAAAACAUUUUGCACUUCCGGGGUCCGUACCCCUC